GACGAACGCUGGCGGCGUGCCUAAUACAUGCAAGUCGAACGAGAGCGACCGGUGCUUGCACUGGUCAAUCCAGUGGCGAACGGGUGAGUAACACGUGGGUAACCUGCCCAUCAGAGGGGGAUAACAUUCGGAAACGGAUGCUAAAACCGCAUAGGUCUUCGAACCGCAUGGUUUGAAGAGGAAAAGAGGCGCAAGCUUCUGCUGAUGGAUGGACCCGCGGUGCAUUAGCUAGUUGGUGAGGUAACGGCUCACCAAGGCCGUGAUGCAUAGCCGACCUGAGAGGGUGAUCGGCCACAUUGGGACUGAGACACGGCCCAAACUCCUACGGGAGGCAGCAGUAGGGAAUCUUCCGCAAUGGACGCAAGUCUGACGGAGCAACGCCGCGUGAGUGAAGAAGGUUUUCGGAUCGUAAAACUCUGUUGUUAGAGAAGAAUAAGUGCUAGAGUAACUGUUAGCGCCUUGACGGUAUCUAACCAGAAAGCCACGGCUAACUACGUG
rnacentral:rRNA from 1 species